rnacentral:lncRNA from 1 species
CUGCUGUUACGGAAUUCCGAAACGAAAUAUUAUUUUAAUAUUUUCUUACUUGUCUUUCAAGUUUAACUUAAAUUUGAACUUGGUGAAAUUGGCAACGCUAUAUUCGGGGUUUGAAGAUGGUCACGCGAGAUUCAUUGCUUCGUGCAAAAGAAAUUCUUUACAUUGAAGCAAGCAGCGUUCAUUUUGCACACAUUUGCACCAAUUCCUUCAUCACCGUUGGAUAGAGUCAAGAAAAAUAAAUUGUGGAGAACUUAACAAUAUUUUGAUUCCUCGCCUGAUUUUUUCUGCAAAGAAUUAUUAAAUCAUGCUUAUUCAGAGAAACAAAUAUGCCGUGUGUAAAUGAAGGGAAUUAAUUAAUUAGACAAAAGAAACAAAGAAACGCCGAACGUUAAAAACUGAAAAUCUAAGGAACUUACAGGAAUUAUUCAAAGUCUGGCACAAUACAGCUGUUUGCUUCGAAGCUGUUUCACCAAAAGCGAGGUUUCAAUUAUUUUAUGGAUUACGGAAGAGUAGAACAUGAAUGUCAUUGCUGACAUAUAAAAUGGAACGAUAUCAAUUCCUCACCAAUUCCACACAAACUGCAGAGUGAAAGACCAUCUUACAUGAACAAAAUUAUGUAUAUUAAUAUUAGUACUUGUAGAAUGGAAAAGAAGCCAAGAUUAAUAUCCCUCGAAGAGAAAUUGAUGCCACAUUCAUGGCACAACCAAGGACAUUUAAAUUUUGUCUCUAUAUUUGCACAUAGUGAUAUGUUUACUGUUGUGCAAGGGUCAAUUGGAUCAGGAUAUGAACAGUUCAGGUAGCAACGGGGGCCAGUUAUAUGAAAAUGGUGUAAACAUAUACACGAACAGUUACUAUGAUACAGAAAAAACGUCCGUAGAUAUUCUUUAGAGCGAAAUUAGCCACGUAAAUGCUCUCAGUUUAUUGUUUUCAUAACCACCCAACAAAUAUGAAACGAUGAUAGAGUCAACUUGAUAUGGAUGACACUGGAUUCAACUUAAAAUUUGGAUAAAUCAUUUUACUGUAAAAAUUUUAUACUAUCAAUAGUUAAAUGUCUUUGGUGUAUUAAUAUAAAUCAUGGCACCACCCUGUUAACCAUUGAUUGCAGCGUAACAAACAUUUGGGAAAUCUUUAUAUUUCCAGAAGUCUAAACCACAGAUCUUAGCUCUCUCACAGUUUUUAAGAUGUCGCAGUUUAUAAAAUUUGCUUUUCAUAUUAAACGACCAUUUUGAAAUCAUUA